GACGGAAGGUGCAAGCGUUGCUCGGAAUCACUGGGCGUAAAGGGUGCGUAGGCGGCCGUGCAAGUCUGGCGUGAAAGCCCCGGGCUCAGCCCGGGAAGUGCGCUCGAAACUGCGCGGCUCGAGUGCCGGAGGGGAGAGUGGAAUUCCUGGUGUAGCGGUGAAAUGCGUAGAUAUCAGGAGGAACACCGAUGGCGAAGGCAGGUCUCUGGGCAUUAACUGACGCUGAGGAGCGAAAGCGUGGGGGAGCGAACAGG
rnacentral:rRNA from 1 species